GAACUGAAAGAUCCUUGCAAGAAUCCAAAAAAUGUUAUUCCAAGCACGUGCUUAAGUAUCAAGCGUUGUGCAGCUGUGAGUAAGAAUGGAUAAUGCUCCUAAAUACUGCCUCAGGUCCUUUCUACAUAAGUGGCUGGAGAACUGGUAAAGCAACGGAGCAAGAAAUACUGUGCAAAUAAAGGGUCACCCAUGUGUCUACAAACUCUAUUUCUUGUUGCUCCUGGAUUCCUCCAGCAUUGAAAAAUGCUCUGGGUGAAAUGAUGGCCAGGCUG